ensembl:lncRNA
CGCCGACGCCGGAUCUGCCUGCACGGCUGCGGCAGGAUGGGGGUUGCAGCAUUCCCCCUCUGCCCUGGGGGCAGCCAGCCCCCUCCUCUUCUUCCUGCCACGGCCGAGCCCCGUGCUGGAGCCCGUCUGGCACAGCCUCUUCGCCAUGUCCUGCCGGGGGCGGAGAGCCCUCUCCGGAGCGCCUGAGCGCGGACCGAGCCCCAGCACCGCGGACAGCUCCCGGUCACCGGCGCUACGAGCCCCAGCACCGCGGACAGCUCCCGGCGGGCCAGGGCGCGCUGCCGGCGGGCAGUCGGUCAGUGCCCGGCUCCGGAGCUGCGCCGUGCCUUAGUGCUCCGGUUCAUUGCGUAUUGCUGGCAGCCCUCUACCGAGAAGAACGCCGAGAGACCUCCCUUUCCCCCCUUACCACCCCCCUUUCUCAAGGUGCCAGAAGAGGGCUUAUCUUUGGGCUCGGAGUCUGUUUGUCUUGUGUGGAUCGGGAUUUGUAAGUGUGGACGGUGCCUGGUUACAGUGGUAUAUGAGUCUACAGACACUGAGGUGCACUACAGAGUUAGAAAGAAACCUCGGAUCUGUCGUGCUGUGGAGGGGUCAAAUAAACCCUAUACAACCAGCAAACCCAGCCCAAGCCUUCCUGCAACCAACUUUACCCCCUCAACCACGAGAAUUCCCUCCUUUCCUCCUCCCUCCAUGCUCCUUCCUUCAGAGACUGUAGAAUGAGGCAUUUCCUUCUAUCUGGCUCAGGGUAAAAGCAUACCCUGGGGGCAGCAACACACAUCUGGCAGGGACUGAAAGGUUUUAAUCCAGCCUCUACUGCAAUCAACAAUGGCAAAUGAACCAGUGAUUCUGAAUGUUUAUGACAUGGUGAGUAUGAAACAGUACUGAUUUAGGGGGAAGGGGGGGUUGUGUGGAACAGUGGGGUUGGGUGGGAAUCUGUGCUUGGAGGUAGGUGUUGUAUGAAGAGGAGCCAAGCACAGAUCCCAGAAAGGCUGAUCCCUCGCCCUCCUUCCCCCCAAACUCCUCAUCCAAGCAUAUCAUGUUCUGGCUGUCAGAGAUAAUGCUGACCCAGGCUUUUUUCUUCAAAAUGUUUAGCAUAUUGGGAGAGAUUAUAGGUAAAACUGUGCCUGAUUUUCUGCAGGAUCUCUCAGGAACAGCACUGGGUGAGGGGAGGACUUUUUAAUUUCCAGUGUCCCAGUUAAGGAAGAAGAUUCGAUCACCUCUCUGUUGGAGAUAAUUGUCCUUUAAUUUUAAGUGAGCAACCACUCCCAGGCUGUGGGGAAGGGGUCAGGAUAUCAUCCAGGGAAGAGAAACAACUGUAGAAUUGCAAUAAGGACACAGUUUCUAGGCUAAUCAUCUGCAUCAGUCCCUCACAGCCAUAAGAUUGUAGUUAAGAAUUUUCUCUGAAGGUUAAUUGCAACAACAGGAGUAAGAAAUUGCCUGAACUGGUGAAGUUUCAACACAGGGAGAGGCACAGGGACGUGCUGCUUGGCAAUGUUUCCUGAAAGUUCACAGUGUAGCAAGUGGCUUUCCUCACCCUCCUCUUACAAGGAGGGAUGUGACUGGGAAUUACCCGUGCUAACACAUCAGAUCGAAAUCCCAGCCUUGGCGUAAGCCCCCAAAGAGAAGAAGGCUUGGCACAACCUGUUUGCUUUCUGGUCCAACAGGAGCUUAGGAGAGGCAUGUUCAAAUGAGGAAUGUUUUGAUGAUGAUGCACUUCCCCUCUCUUUUUUGUUUAUGAACUAACGAUUGAAAGAGUAGUUUUCAGAUCUUCCAAAAAUUUAGUGAACUUUGCUGGGGAAAAUACAACCUUAUGAGGCCUAGGUGCUGACUGGGCCUCAUAAGUAUCUAGCUCCAGACCUUUAAGAUUAUACAUACAUUUGCUUUUUGUCAUCAGGCAGUGACAACAUUCAACAGGAAGCCCACAGAAUAGUGUGGGUUUCCCUGCUGGGGGAAUUCACAGAUAGACACCAAAGAGAUUAGGAGUGGGUUGCUGUAAAUGUCCAACCUCUUCUUAUUACAAAGAUUAACUGAUCUUUUUUUGACUAAAAAAUCUGAGUUGUUUUCUGAGGGAAGAGGGAGUGGUAAAGGCUAUUUAGGUAGGAUUGUAUCUGUAUUGAAAGACAGUCUGAAAACCACAACUACAGUGGCUUGAAGCUGUCUCUCCCAGAGCUAAUAUUGGUAAAAUUGAGUAAGUUGGUAUAAAAUCCUUCCCUAGACUUUGGGCCUGAGUGUUUAAUGGUCAGCUGCUUGGCAGCCUGAACUGUGAAGUCUCCCAAGCUGUUCUUCAACCAGCAGGUCUGGUAACUCAAGCAGGUGGUACCUAGUGCUUGGCAACAAGGGACAAGCAUUGCAAAUGCACACACAAGAGUUUCUCAUUAAUACUUUGAGGAACAUAAAGGGAUUGUGUUGCCCUUUUGUUAUGUCCACUGUCUUCCUUGCAAUUUUUUUAGUUUUUUUCUGCAGCAGGUUGUGGUCUGAACUUUCCUUUCUCAGCCACUGUUGAGCUGUCCCAAAUCCAUGAAUAUUUUGGUCCAAAAACUGGAUGGACAUGGAUGUUGCCUUUUUUCAUGUGAUUGACAACAAAGAUGAAGUCCAAAGUAAUUAUAUGGGAAGGGACUUGCUGUUUAUGGUUAUUGUGUUUUGAGGUGGACACCCAGAAUCAGUGAAUUGAGUUGAGGUCACCAGUUUUAUUCAGACUGAGUAAUUUUUGCUGCUUAGCAAGCCAUGAAAACCUAGUGUAUGGGUACUAACUCCAUGGGUUAACCACUCAGUACAUAGAAACCGUUCUAUUUUCAUAUAGCAUCUGUUUGACUACCACUGAGUCACCUCUAUUUCAAAUCUUACAUUAUGUUUAUUGAGGCUACAUGCUUUUCCAUUGCUGCUAUGAUUUUAACACCAGAGAGUUUGGAAUGUAGCCAUGCAAAAUCUGCACUUUGUUACACUGUGGUGGGGAAUUGCGGGGGAACUGGGAAAUGAGCACAUUUGCUUGAAUGACUGUUGGAAAACUAGUCUCAAUGGGGGGAAAAAAAAAAGACAGCUGGGGAUAACAAUUAACUGGACGUAAAUCUCUGCUUUCCUGACAAGGAACAUGACCCCUUUAUGGUAUCUGGAAGCACUUACACUACAGGAAUACUUACCCCUAGGGCAGAAGUUCAAUUCAUAGCUUUGUGCAGCUAUGAAAUACCUACUCUGUAUAGUCUUGUGUAUUCAAAGAUUAUAGUCAUUUAUCCUUUUACCUGUUGGAUAUGUACCAGGCUUCUUUAGGAAAAAAGAGCUUCUGUUAAUGAGGUGUUUUUCACAAAUAGGUGAAGCAGAUAGAUCAAAGUAGACUUACUUUCUUCAGCAUAGAACAAUUCAGCAAAAAUCACUGGGCAUUCAGAAUAUCGUCAUCAAAAGCAAUUUCCCUCACCCCCAGCAUGCAGGGUAAUUAUAUCCUGUUUUAUCUGUUGCUAAAGAGCUUGUACACACAUGAACACUUGCAAAAGAGACAGGGCAGCAGAACUUGGCUGCUCAACCAGGACAUUUUAGAGAGCGAGUAUGCAGGAUACCGCGCUCCGAUUUAAAGUGUAAGUGUGAACACAGAAUAAUAACACGGAUCAGGAUUUGAUCAUGGAUGAAUCUCUUUCCUAAUCUGAAUCUAGCUCUUGCAUGGACUUACUCUAAGGCAAAAGCUGUUUGGACACCUGCAUGAAAUAACUGGGUCUAUAAAAUCUAUGAAAGAGUUUGCUCUGAUCAGUCAGUUAUCACUUUGCCUUUAGAGGGAUAAAUCAAAUUCCUCUUCAUAACUUGCAGCUCUAUUUCCUUCACUCUGCCUUAAUAGGCUGUUUAUCAUGGAUCAGAUCAUACUUUAGAUCACAGGGCUGACUUCAUUCAGUCAGGAUAUCAUCCUAUUUCCUCAUUGCUUUAAGUCCUUGUGGCUUACUUUGGAAUAGUUGACUUAAUCACUGUACAUUAAUAAAUGUUGCCUGCUUAAAUCAGACAGAAGAGUAACUGCAAUUAUUGCCUAGGUUUAAAUCUUUAACAAGCAAACUAAACACAUUCCACUAAAAAUAGUUUGCUUGGCGGAGAUUCAAGUUGGGGGCUCUCAAAAUAUUUUCAGCUUAUUGCAUAGCACAUUUAUGCUAUCAAAUUAAAAGCAAAGAUAUUCAUAUCACUGCUGUCCCUCUUCUGUUACAGAUAUGGUUGUCCUGAAUUUCCACUGUCUUUGCAGCUGAUAGCAUUCAAAACUGUCAUUUUGAUCUACCGGUAUUUUGCUUACUCUUUAUGCUGGAGAAAAUGAGCCCCUGAGAUGUGCUGCAGAGAAGAAUGAGAGCCCUGGUCAGCAGGGAGCCAGGGAGCAGUGAUAUAGGGUCUCUUUGGAUGAGAGGGGUGAAUCUCUUUCUCAUCCUUGUCCCAUUGUUAUUCCAUUGAUUCCACUGACAUUUCUUGUCAUCCUCUUUGAAGUGAAUGAAAGGGAAAUAAGGUUCAGGUCCCUGUAGACACACUAACUCUGAGGUUUUUCCCUGUGACUUCCAGCUUCAGAGAGGUAGCCAAAAUGUAAUUAUUCAUAAUGGUCCUCCCAUAUUCUUUCAGUUCUUUAUAUAAUUUAUAUAAUUUGCCAGCUAAAUGGCUGAAGGCCAAUGGCUGAUGGCAAAGGAUGGCCCUGCAGGUGUCUGACUGGGGUCUCUCUUGCUUCACUGAUCAGUGGGUCAUGGUGUCAUCAGUUUGAUUUCUCCAUCACACCAAGUGGAUCAUCCAAGUGACCCUGACAGAAAAUCAAACACAAUAGCAUUCUUGUCUCCACAGCAGUGAUAAAGGCCCAUUUUGUGUUUGUGAUCUCGGGGCAAGCAGCCUGUGUUGAAGUAGGGGUAGUACUUGGGCUGAGGAUGUAAAAGUUUGUAGACAUGCAUGUAGUUUCUAAGACUCCCAGGACAUGAAUCUCACUCUUGCUUUUUAUUGAUGUGGUGGAACAGAGCAUCCUGGGAGGCUGCAUGUGCACAGGAGGCAGCAUUUCUGGGGAGGGAGAGAAGGAAGAAGGUGGUGUUACAAACCAUAAGAGUUUGUAAUGAGUUUUCUCCAUGGUUUCAGUUGUACCAUCAACAAACAUUUACCAUGCUCUGUGCAGUCAAUCAGCUUGUGGUCUCCCAGCAGAAACUGAUCAGAGACGACCACAGCCUGAGAGUGGCUUAGGUUGGGAGAGGAGUUCUGGUGAGAUUAUUUCCGCCUGGCUUUACAAAUGUCUGUCAUCUUAUAGUUGCUUCUACAUAGAGCUGGGUUCAGGAACUGAGGGCUGCUGGGAAGUUACUGGGUCAAGAUGAGCUAGAUGAGCAGUUGUGGUGUGGGAAACUGUAUGUGUGAUUCUUCAGGGAUAGGGUGGAAGCUGGGUUUUGUUUAUGUACUCUGAGAAAAGGCUUGUGAAAGAGUCCCUGCGUGAAAAGGACAUAUCAGCUAUGUGUGAGGAAAGGCAGAAAGGGUCUGUAUGACCAUAGAAUAAAUGCAUAAAACUUUAGUGCUUAAUCCAGAUUCUGUGAUACAAAAUCAUAUUGCAGAGAUGGGAGUUACUUUUCCUUUUGCACUUUUCAGCUCUGUUAUUUUCAGCAUUUUACUGAAAUCCAUUGCUCACAUAUGGAGGUGAUGACCUCUUUGUACCAUUGAAAAACAGCAGACUUCCCAUCCUAUCAUCCCUUCUUGGCUUCCUAGGCAAGUGGAAAAGAGAGAGACGUGGCCACUAUAAUUAAAUGCUCUGGGACUGAAGGAAUAGAGGUGCUCUGUACCUCUACCUUGAGCAAGAAAGGAGCCUUUGAGUCUGUUUUAGAAAAAGCAAUGGGAUUACAAGCAAAGCACUUCAUUCUGUGACAUGUUUGUUUUAAGCCCUGGCUAAAUCAUGGAACAUUUUAUUAUCUCUCUGGAGGAAAGAAUAAGUCUAGUUAGUCAGAAAAAUGUCAACAUGUUUGUGAUUACUGUU